rnacentral:lncRNA from 1 species
AAUAUCUUAUAAUUUGUGGUCCGAACUUAAGAAUUAUUGCAAUCAAGUUGUUGAUGUAAAAAUAAUAUUGUAUUUAAGGCUAGGGCUACUAUAUUUUUAUGAGUUUAGAUUUCUUUGAACUCAUAAAUUUUCGACCGUUGAAUAAAAGGAUGUACAGUUAGGAUAAUAGUGGUUCUCUAGCGUUGAAUAGGUAGUUGGUUGAAUGUAUUAUCUAACGGAUGAAAAAGGUCAAACUCUAACGGCUGUAAAUUUAUGAGUAUAAAGAGGUCUACACUCAUAUAGUAUACUAGCCGGACACUGCAUCUUAAUUAUUAUUGUAUCAUCAAUCAUAAUAUUUUCACAUCAUUUUUAUAUUAACAGUAGU